GCAAAACAUACACAUAGAAGGGGAAGAAAAGAAACGGGGGAAACAGAGAGGGGGAAACGGGAAGAAGAGGAAGGAGAAGAGAGGGACGGGAUGUAAGGGAAGGCGCCGGAAAGGCCGUCGUCGCCGUCGCCGUCAGGUGAAGGUGGAGGAGUGACUGAGAGAGAGUAGGAUGUAAGGAAGGAGAAGAGAGAUUGAGAGAGGGAGACGGAGAGCAAGGAAGGGGAGGAAGGCUACUCCCGUCAUCACCGCCGAUUCUGCCUAGACCGCCGCCGUCGCCAUUGAGGGAGUCACUGCCUCCGAAUCCUAACCAUCGCUGCGGUCAGAAGAACGAACCUGGAAGGAGAAGGACGAGGUUUGUUCUCGCACUGUCCUUCUCCGCCGCCGCCACUGCCGUCGAUUGGGGUCACACCGUUGCUGUUGCGCCCUGUUUUCUUUGAUAGAGCCACUGUUGAGAGUCUGCCGUCAGAGAAGCAUCGUCGGCGUUGCUGCUGUGAACUAUUUCAGCUACUGCCCUGAAUAUGAGAAGGGAGAGGAGUUGUGUUCUUUUGCUGUCGUCGUCGUUGCCGAAACCAGGACAAAUUUACCGGAGAUAGUGUUGAUGAUAAUAAAGAAUUGUUAGAGUUACUGCUGCUGCUGCUAGUUUGGUUCGAGUCUGUUGCUGCUACAAACUAAAACAAAAGAGGGGUUUGCUGCUCUUAAUUAUCAAAUUUUGGCUAAUCGAGAAUUGAUGAGGUAAUCAAUACUCAAUUGAUGGUUUCUCAGUAAAUUUUUUCCAAAAAUGGAUCAAGCAUUUUCUCCAUAUUUCAGCUGGAAACAAAGAGGUUGUUAUGGCUUAUUGGCAUUACAUUUGCAGUAUGUAAAUUAAAUUAUUAGUUUUAUUAUAGAAUUGUAAUUUUUUUAAUUAUAAUUAUAGCAUGUAAAUAAUUUAUGUAAAUCAAUAAAAAAAUCAAUUCUUUUUA